UGUCACGGGCAAAAUUGACCCUUGGGCAAAAUUGAGCCCGGGCAUCCACGUGCCUCUGUUAUCUUAGCUCAAGCUCGUGUAUGUGGGCUUCUUUUCGACUGAUAUGGCGUCUAGAGCUAGCAUGAUCAUCAUUCUUUAUUAUGAUGACAAAGAUCAUGUCAAAAUUUGCCUCAUUAAAUAAGAAAUUACAUAAAGAUCGGCAGCUUUUCCUCGUCGCCAAGACAUCCUCCAGCAGCGCUCCGACACCCAUGAUCGCACAUUCAUUUUUCUCAGAAAAUAGGAUACCAAUCACAUUUACAUCAACAUAUUUCCACAGGUGAAUACUUAGGGCAUGUUCACACCAAGCUGCGACACCUGAGAUUCAUUAAUAAUGACAGGGGAAGGAAAAAUAUAGGCCCCUGUCAUCGACAAAAUUGAGCCUCGGGCAGAAUUGAGCCGGGGCAUCUAUAUGCCUCAGAUUUCUUCGCUAUUAUAUGUUGUAAGAUCGUUUUGUUGACAUGUAUGGGUAGAUUAAGGCUUUCUGUAUCUACAUAAAGAAGGAAAACGCAAAAUUCGCCCUAGUAAAUCAGAAACUACAUAAAGUUCGGCAGCUUUUCCUUGUCGCCAAGACAUCCUCCAGCAGCGCUCCGACACCCAUGAUCGCACAUUCAUUUUUCACAAAAAAUAGGAUACCAAUCACAUUUGCAUCGACAUAUCUCCACAGGUGAAUACUUAGGGCAUGUUCACACCAAGUUGCGACACCUGAAGUUCAUUAAUUAUGACAGGGGAAGGAAAAAUGUAGGGCCUUCCUUGUCUCUAAUUUACCGACGUCCAUGAAACCGUACACGGCCUGAGAUGGUGCCAAGGACCAAGGCAUCUGGCGCAAUGCAUCAACCUCAACUAUUACUGCUACAAGCCUGCAUCUUGCCAUUUCAACGUAAUGGAGCAAAAUAACCCCGGUCAAAGUGAGCAAGAGUUUGUGCAUUUGCACACUGUGAAGCAGUGGCUGCGAGGGGAAGAGCCAAAUAUGUUGCCACGCAAAAAGAAGAACGUGAAGAGAUUUGCUCUCCUGGUGAAGAUAAGAAACUAAUGACUGUAGCUGAAUGAGACUGAAAUCACCAAGAUAACAAGAAUAAACUAUAUCUCAUCAAAGUGGCCGAGGGGAGGAGGCGGCAGGUUCUCCUGCAUCAGAACAUAUUGCGCAUCCUUGCCCAGUAUCAUGAUGAUGCAGGCCACUGUGGUCAACAUACCACAGAGGAAAACAUUGCCUCUUAAUUAUUACUGGCCAAGGACAUUAUGUCAAAGACUAUGUGAUUAGACAGUACAUUGCGUGUUCAGUUUCACCAUGUCAGUGAUGCUUAUACCUGUGAAAAGUCCUAUUGUAAAGAAGAGGAAUAUUGUCUCUGUGAAGUUAACAAGUUGCCUGUAUCAGAUUGCAUCUUGUUUAUUGAGGAACAUUUUAGUCUUAUCACUUGUAUAUUUUUGCAAUAAAGUCAAUGAAUUUCAA